rnacentral:rRNA from 1 species
UACGUAGGUGACCAGCGUUGUCCGGAUUUACUGGGCGUAAAGAGCGCGCAGGCGGUCGUUCAAGUCGCGUGUGAAAGCCCCCGGCUCAACUGGGGAGGGUCACGCGAUACUGAUCGACUCGAAGGCAGGAGAGGGUAGUGGAAUUCCCGGUGUAGUGGUGAAAUGCGUAGAUAUCUGGAGGAACACCGGUGGCGAAGGCGACAUCCUGGACCGGUAUUGACGCUGAGGCGCGAAAAGCCAGGGGGAGCAAACGGG